rnacentral:rRNA from 1 species
CGCGUAGGCGGUUUAACAAGUCAGGUGUGAAAGCCCCGAGCUUAACUCGGGAACUGCGCUUGAUACUGUUAUUCUUGAAUUCGGGAGAGGUGAGUGGAAUUCCCAGUGUAGAGGUGAAAUUCGUAGAUAUUGGGAGGAACACCAGUGGCGAAGGCGGCUCACUGGACCGACAUUGACGCUGAGGCGCGAAAGCGUGGGGAUCAAACAG